AUUGAACGCUGGCGGCAGGCCUAACACAUGCAAGUCGAACGAGUGGCGGACGGGUGAGUAAUGUCUGGGAAACUGCCCGAUGGAGGGGGAUAACUACUGGAAACGGUAGCUAAUACCGCAUACCAUCAGAUGUGCCCAGAUGGGAUUAUCUAGUUGGUGGGGUAACGGCUCACCAAGGCGACGAUCCAUAGCUGGUCUGAGAGUAUGACCAUCCACACUGGAACUUAGACACGGACCAGAAGCCUACGGGAGGCAGCAGUGGGGAAUAUUGCACAAUGGGCGCAAGCCUGAUGCAGCCAUGCCGCGUGUAUGAAGAAGGCCUUCGGGUUGUAAAGUACUUUCAGCGAGGAGGCGUUACCCGCAGAAGAAGCACCGGCUAACUCCGUGCCAGCAGCCGCGGUAAUAC
rnacentral:rRNA from 1 species